rnacentral:rRNA from 1 species
GGCCUUGACAUACUAAGAACUUUCCAGAGAUGGAUUGGUGCCUUCGGGAACUUAGAUACAGGUGCUGCAUGGCUGUCGUCAGCUCGUGUCGUGAGAUGUUGGGUUAAGUCCGCAACGAGCGCAACCCUUUUCCUUAUUUGCCAGCGGGUAAUGCCGGGAACUUUUAAGGAUACUGCCAGUGACAAACUGGAGGAAGGCGGGGACGACGUCAAGUCAUCAUGGCCCUUACGGCCAGGGCUACACACGUGCUACAAUGGUCGGUACAAAGGGUUGCUACCUCGCGAGAGGAUGCUAAUCUCAAAAAGCCGAUCGUAGUCCGGAUCGCAGUCUGCAACUCGACUGCGUGAAGUCGGAAUCGCUAGUAAUCGCGGAUCAGAAUGCCGCGGUGAAUACGUUCCCGGGCCUUGUACACACCGCCCGUCACACCAUGGGAGUUUGUUGCACCAGAAGUAGGUAGUCUAACCGCAAGGAGGACGCUUACCACGGUGUGGCCGAUGACUGGGGUGAAGUCGUAACAAGGUAAGCGUAGAUGA